UCCAUCACUAUGAAUCCUGGAAGAUGCCUUGUUGUCUUUGACUUCGAUCACACUCUUGUCGACGACAAUUCAGACCCCUGGGUACUACAACUUCUCCGCAAGGCAGAACUAGAAGUGAGCACGAUGCGUCGCUCAGGCACUUGCUGGACAGACUGCAUGCAGCGCGGUUUUCGCCUCUUACACCAAAGCGGCAUCACCCGCGAAACAAUCCGGGAACGUCUCGAGCUAAUACCUCUCACCAAUUCGAUGAAACAGACGCUUCAUCUGCUCUCGUCCCACCCACGCAAUGACGUCAUCAUCAUCUCUGAUUCCAACAGUGUGUUCAUUGAUAUUGUUCUGUCUCACCACGGUCUGAGUGGAAUGUUUAAAGCAAUUUUGACAAAUCCUGCACAUUUUGAUGCAGAUGGGUUGCUGUGUGUGAGCUAUCAUUGUAGGAUACCUCACCACUGUCAUCGCCGUUGCCCUCCCAAUAUGUGCAAGGGUCUCAUAUUGCAACGAUUUCUGCAAGAAUCGAAGAGUGAAGGCACUUGCUAUGAGAAGGUUGUCUACAUUGGUGAUGGACGUGGUGAUUUCUGUGCCUGUCUUGGUCUCGGUCGAGGAGACGUCGCGAUGGCUAGGAAGGGUUAUUCGCUGCUUGACAUGUUGACGUCUGCAUCGGGACAUGAUGAGUUGAAAGCUGAACUUGUUGAAUGGAGUAGUGGUGAUGAUCUACUGAAGUUUUUUGAAACAUCUUAGUCAAGAUGUGGAAAGAUUUACAGUAACACAAUAUGGUUUAAAAGGCAAGAUAUUUCAUGUAGACAGACAUUCUGCUCACUAACAUAUUUAUUUCAUCACUCAAUUGAUGCAAGACAAUAUACCGCACUCUAACUUCUAAUACAGCAAGUUCUACAGAUACAAGACUCACAUCGACUAACAGACUGCAAAUAGCGAUAGAAUUAGUAGUGUCUAGAUGUGAUGUACUACAGUUGAUUCACAAUCAUGGCUCGUUGUUGACUUGAGCUGCAAAAAAUACAA